rfam:Triticum aestivum genome assembly, contig: Triticum_aestivum_CS42_TGACv1_scaffold_195926_3AL
CUAGUACUCCCUCCGUCCAAAAAUACUUGUCAUCAAAAUGAAUAAAAGGGAAUGUAUCUAGAUGUAUUUUAGUUCUAAAUACAUCCCUUUUUGUCUACUUUGAUGACAAGUAUUUUCGAACGGAGGGAGUAUGCA